rnacentral:rRNA from 1 species
AUGGGGAAGGAACGUUGUUGUUUGCGAGGUCUCGAUCAUUUACAUGGACCCACUUCUCAUUCCAUUUGUGGGAAUUUGAUGAUUUAUAAACCGUCCGCAACGAGCGAAAGGAUCAUGUUUGAACGUGAUGAAUCACUUCGUGCUGACCUGUUGCCCAUAAACUUUCCUGCCUCAUAUGAGAAUGGAAAACUGGAAGAUUUUCUGCAUCAGUGGAUGAAGAAUCACGAACAUAAGAAUUUCUGGUUUAGCAUGUUCCCAGAAAGAAGAUACUUUUUUUCCAUUCAAGAAACGAGGAGCACGACUGAAGUGGCUAUACAUACAAAUCCAUUUACGGAUCUAUAUGCUCCGAUUGGAACUGGAAGUUCCAGAACUGGCGGCUGGAUA